UUUAUGGAGAGUUUGAUCCUGGCUCAGGAUGAACGCUGGCGGCGUGCCUAAUACAUGCAAGUCGAGCGAACUGACGAGGAGCUUGCUCCUUUGACGUUAGCGGCGGACGGGUGAGUAACACGUGGGUAACCUACCUAUAAGACUGGAAUAACUCCGGGAAACCGGGGCUAAUGCCGGAUAACAUGUUGAACCGCAUGGUUCAACAGUGAAAGACGGUCUUGCUGUCACUUAUAG
rnacentral:rRNA from 1 species